rnacentral:rRNA from 1 species
CCAGACUCCUACGGGAGGCAGCAGUGAGGAAUAUUGGUCAAUGGCCGGAAGGCUGAACCAGCCAAGCCGCGUGAAGGACGAAGGUGCCAAGCAUUGUAAACUUCUUUUGUCAAGGGACAAAAUCAGGCUCGAGAGCCUGACCGAGGGUACUUGAAGAAAAAGCAUCGGCUAACUCCGUGCCAGCAGCCGCGGUAAUACGGAGGAUGCGAGCGUUAUCCGGAUUUAUUGGGUUUAAAGGGUGCGUAGGCGGACUGUUAAGUCAGCGGUAAAAAUUCGGGGCUCAACCCCGUCCGGCCGUUGAAACUGGGGGCCUUGAGUGGGCGAGAAGAAGGCGGAAUGCGUGGUGUAGCGGUGAAAUGCAUAGAUAUCACGCAGAACCCCGAUUGCGAAGGCAGCCUUCCGGCGCCCUACUGACGCUGAGGCACGAAAGUGCGGGGAUCGAACAGGAUUAGAUACCCCUGUAGU